CAGUUAAAUUUGAAUUUCAGAUAAACAGCAAAUAAUUUUUAGUAUAAGUACAGCCCAUGCAAUAUUUGGGACAUACUUACACUAAAAAGAAUGUACUAUUUACUUGAAAUACAAAUUUAACU
rnacentral:miRNA from 1 species